GAGGAAUAUUGGUCAAUGGACGCAAGUCUGAACCAGCCACGUCGCGUGAAGGAAGACGGCCCUACGGGUUGUAAACUUCUUUUAUACGGGAAUAAAGUGCCCCACGCGUGGGGUUUUGCAAGUACCGUACGAAUAAGGACCGGCUAACUCCGUGCCAGCAGCCGCGGUAAUACGGAGGAUCCGAGCGUUAUCCGGAUUUAUUGGGUUUAAAGGGUGCUCAGGCGGGGGAUUAAGUCGGCGGUGAAAUUUUGCAGCUCAACUGUAAAAGUGCAUUCGAACCUGGUUUCCUUGAGUGCGGAUGAGGUAGGCGGAAUUUGAGGAGUAAGGGUGAAAUGCAUAGAGAUAACGAGGAACACCGAUUGCGCAGGCGGCUUACAAAGCCGUAACUGACGCUCAAGCACGAAGGCGUGGGGAUCAAACA
rnacentral:rRNA from 1 species